rnacentral:rRNA from 1 species
UACGGAGGGCGCAAGCGUUGCUCGGAAUCAUUGGGCGUAAAGCGGGUGUAGGCGGUGAAAAAAGUCAAAUGUGAAAUCCCGGGGCUCAACCCCGGAACUGCAUUCGAUACUGCUUCACUGGAGUCACGGAGAGGAAGGCGGAAUUCCCGGUGUAGAGGUGAAAUUCGUAGAUAUCGGGAGGAACACAAGUGGCGAAGGCGGCCUUCUGGACGAUGACUGACGCUCAGACCCGAAAGCGUGGGUAGCAAACAGG